UACGUAGGGACCAAGCGUUGUCCGGAAUCAUUGGGCGUAAAGAGCGUGUAGGCGGCUUGUUAAGUCUUGCGUGAAAUCUCGGGGCUCAACCCCGAGCGGUCGUGAGAAACUGGCAGGCUAGAGUGCGGGAGAGGAGAGUGGAAUUCCUGGUGUAGCGGUGAAAUGCGCAGAUAUCAGGAGGAACACCGGUGGCGAAGGCGGUUCUCUGGGCAUGUCCUGACGCUGAGGGACGAAAGCUAGGGGAGCGAAUGGG
rnacentral:rRNA from 1 species